rnacentral:rRNA from 1 species
UUGGGAGCCUACGGCACUGCCCGUAGCUCCCUAAAGUGAUUGGCGGAGUUGGUUCUCACUCUAGGCGUAGUAAAUCUAUCUCGCCUCUGUAGUGGUUCCGGCCCCUGCCGUAAAACCCCCUAUAUCAAAGGUUGACCUCGGAUCAGGUAGGAAUACCCGCUGAACUUAAGCAUAUCAAUAAGCGGAGGAAAAGAAACCAACAGGGAUUGCCCUAGUAACGGCGAGUGAAGCGGCAACAGCUCAAAUUUGAAAUCUGGCUUUCGGGCCCGAGUUGUAAUUUGUAGAGGAUGAUUUUGGCGCGGUGCCUUCCGAGUUCCCUGGAACGGGACGCCUUAGAGGGUGAGAGCCCCGUACGGUUGGACACCAAGCCUCUGUAAAUCUCCUUCGACGAGUCGAGUAGUUUGGGAAUGCUGCUCUAAAUGGGAGGUAAAUUCCUUCUAAAGCUAAAUACCGGCCAGAGACCGAUAGCGCACAAGUAGAGUGAUCGAAAGAUGAAAAGCACUUUGAAAAGAGGGUUAAAUAGCACGUGAAAUUGUUGAAAGGGAAGCAUUUACUACCAGACCUUCUCCUGGCGGAUCAUGCGGUGUUCUCACCGCUGCACUUCGCCUGGUUUAGGCCAGCAUCGGUUUUCGUAGGGGGAUAAAAGCUUUAGGAACGUAGCUCCCUCGGGAGUGUUAUAGCCYUUUGCAUAAUACCCUUACGGGGACCGAGGACCGCGC